AUGGCUGAAUGGUUAAAGCGCCCAACUCAUAAUUGGCGAAGUCGAUUAACUAGGACAGAAAGAAAACAUUGGGUCGAACUCUUCUUUGGUGUCAAGGUAAGAACUAUGAAUCAACUCGCAAUCCCAAUAAAGGGUAGAAGAAUACGACCUAUUAUGGGACAUACAAGGCAUUACAAACGUAUGAUCAUUACGCUUCAACCGGGUUAUUCUAUUCCACCUCUUAGAAAGAAAAUAACUUAA
rnacentral:lncRNA from 1 species